UAAAAUAACUCCAAAACCUUACAGGGUGUACAAAAGUUAUAAAUUAAAAUCCUUAAACUUCUCCUCAAUCACAACCUCAGCUCGUCCAACACCUGUCUUGCCAAAUAACACUUGUCUUGCCAAAUAACUCAUCUGUAAAAUAAUAGGUGAGGGGUGAGCAACAACCACUGUCGCUCAGUGAGUAGAAUAUAAAAUAUGCCAGUCAAGCUUGUCAUUUUAAUCACACUAUAAAAUAGGAUAAUAAUAUCAAAGCUUUAGCCACAUAAUUCCAUAUCACAUCAUCCCUUUACAUGUUCAUUACAUCCUUCAUAUGUAACUCACCACGUGACCCCUAAUGGCCAUCUGCCCUAAUGUCCCCAUGUGCAGUUUACAUUUAUCCCUCGGAUUAAGGCAACACCAAAGUUCUCAUGCCCCAUGAACAUCUCAAACAAAUCACUGAUAAGAUAUAUAAUAACUCUGAAAGUACUUCACAAAAUCCAACAUGCUUGACUUGAAAUAGAGAGAUAUUUAAAAAUAGCUCAAAAUCCAUGAUAUCUCAUGGUUUUCAUUUAUCAGAAAAUAAGAAUAUUUUAAACACAUUACAUAAACCACUCACCUCGAUAAUCCAAGCUUUGGCAAGACAACCCAACUAACAAUCUCCACACAACAAACCCUAAACCCUAUUUCUUUCUCUCUUUACCCUCAGUCCCUUUCUCUACAUUGAACCUUCGUUGCAUGCUCUGC
rnacentral:lncRNA from 1 species